rnacentral:rRNA from 1 species
UAGGGAAUCUUCGGCAAUGGACGAAAGUCUGACCGAGCAACGCCGCGUGAGUGAAGAAGGUUUUCGGAUCGUAAAACUCUGUUGUUAGAGAAGAACAAGGACGUUAGUAACUGCACGUCCCCUGACGGUAUCUAACCAGAAAGCCACGGCUAACUACGUGCCAGCAGCCGCGGUAAUACGUAGGUGGCAAGCGUUGUCCGGAUUCAUUGGGCGUAAAGCGAGCGCAGGCGGUUUCUUAAGUCUGAUGUGAAAGCCCCCGGCUCAACCGGGGAGGGUCAUUGGAAACUGGGAGACUUGAGUGCAGAAGAGGAGAGUGGAAUUCCAUGUGUAGCGGUGAAAUGCGUAGAUAUAUGGAGGAACACCAGUGGCGAAGGCGGCUCGCUGGUCUGUAACUGACGCUGAGGCUCGAAAGCGUGGGGAGCAAACAGG